UACGAAGGGGGCUAGCGUUGUUCGGAUUUACUGGGCGUAAAGCGCACGUAGGCGGAUCGUUAAGUCGGGGGUGAAAUCCUGGAGCUCAACUCCAGAACUGCCUUCGAUACUGGCGAUCUUGAGUCCGGAAGAGGUGAGUGGAAUUCCCAGUGUAGAGGUGAAAUUCGUAGAUAUCGGAGGAACACCAGUGGCGAAGGCGGCGACCUGGCCAAUACGUGACGCUGAGGCAC
rnacentral:rRNA from 1 species